rnacentral:rRNA from 1 species
GAUGAACGCUAGCGGCAGGCUUAACACAUGCAAGUCGAGGGGUAUAGUUCUUCGGAAUUAGAGACCGGCGCACGGGUGCGUAACGCGUAUGCAAUCUACCUUUUACAGGGGAAUAGCCCAGAGAAAUUUGGAUUAAUGCCCCAUAGUAUAGCAGUUUCGCAUGAAACUACUAUUAAAGUACCAACGGUAAAAGAUGAGCAUGCGUCCCAUUAGCUAGAUGGUAAGGUAACGGCUUACCAUGGCGACGAUGGGUAGGGGUCCUGAGAGGGAGAUCCCCCACACUGGUACUGAGACACGGACCAGACUCCUACGGGAGGCAGCAGUGAGGAAUAUUGGUCAAUGGACGCAAGUCUGAACCAGCCAUGCCGCGUGCAGGAUGACGGUCCUAUGGAUUGUAAACUGCUUUGUACGAGAAGAAACAACAUUACGUGUAAUGUCUUGACGGUAUCGUAAGAAUAAGGAUCGGCUAACUCCGUGCCAG